rnacentral:rRNA from 1 species
UACGGAGGGUGCGAGCGUUACCCGGAUUUACUGGGUGUAAAGGGCGUGUAGGCGGUCUCUCAAGUCCGAUGCUAAAGACCGAAGCUCAACUUCGGGGGUGCGUUGGAUACUGUGAGGCUAGACGGUCGGAGAGGGUAGCUGAAUUUCCGGAGUAGCGGUGAAAUGCGCAGAUACCGGAAGGAACGCCAAUAGCGAAAGCAGCUACCUGGACGAUUUGUGACGCUGAGGCGCGGAAGCGUGGGGAGCAAACCGG